AAACCAGCACCUCAAGUGGUCAGGAGGAUUAUUGGGCCUAAAGCAUCCGUAGCCUGUUCUAUAAGUUUCCGGUUAAAUCCAUUAGCUCAACUAAUGGGCCGCCGAAAAUACUGUGGAACUAGGGAGUGGGAGAGGUAGACGGUACUCGGUAGGAAGGGGUAAAAUCCUUUGAUCUAUUGAUGACCACCUGUGGCGAAGGCGGUCUACCAGAACACGUUCGACGGUGAGGGAUGAAAGCUGGGGGAGCAAACCGGAUUAGAUACCCGUGUAGUCC
rnacentral:rRNA from 1 species